AGCAGGGAGGAGCUGGGUGGAGAUCAGUUAGCAAGGAAGGGGCCACACUCCAGAGAGGCUUGGAAACUACUCUUGGCCCUUUGCAUCCAUCCUGUGGGUGACUGGCAACCUUGAAAGUUCAGGCACAGGAGGAAGAAGUUCCAGCAGUCCAGGGACCAGUGAGUUGCUCUUCGCACUGGGCCAUCAGUUAUGAUGCUUAGAACCAUGUCUUCUGGGAGGGAAGCCCCAAGACACUAUUCCACGUCAGUCAAAGGAUGGGAGUUACUCCUGGAUAAUGAAGACUCCAGGAUUCCAGUUUCAAAGGGACAGAGCAUGAGCAGGAGGAGGAGGCGGAGGGAGAGAAGCAGACUCCGCCUGAGCACAGAGCCUCAACAGGGUUUCCAUCCCACAACCCUGAGACCAUGACCCUGAGAUCCUGGUCUAAGCUGAAAUCAAGAGCCAGAUGCUUAACUGACUGAUCCACCCAGGCAUCUUAUACUACAUUUCAUCCAUCCAAGAAUCAUUACUUGUCUGUCUUAUCCUUAUAGAUUCUCAAGAAAACAUGUUAUUUAACCUCUCUUAUGGGGUGAAUUGUAAUUCAAUUGGCCACCCGUGUGUGACCUAGCAUGACUGUGCAGCUUUCUCUGUGUGUUGCAAUCUCAUUGGCCACCUGUGUGUGGCCAGGCUCAACCACAUGGCCUUUGUUCUAUAAAAGUUAGUCUGUAAGGAUUUUUUUUCCCUUAUGUAACUGAGAUCUUCUAUAACUUAAAGCCGGUCCUCCUCCGUCCACAGAACAGGUGGAAAACAUCUGGCAAAAAUAAGAAAUCAAAGAGCCCUACACGUGUUAACUAAUAGUUUAGCCAGAGCAAUUCCAUUCAGUUAAACAGUGAUUUUGUUGUUUAUGCAGUAAAACUUAAACUGACCCUGCCCCCCUCCCCCAGGGGAACUUACUUAAAAGCAAGUCUGGGAAACCAGUAAAAUAUGGUCGACCAGUCCCUGAUAACAGAGUAAAUACAAGGGCGGUUCAGGUCAGGUGGAGAUAACAGCCCUAAUGCAGGGAUGAGUCCGGUCAGGUGGAGACAGCCAAUCAGUAAAGCGCACAUACUGUCUCCCUAGCUACUAAGGAGUGUGGGCCCCGCCUUUUGGGCCCCAAUUCUGACCAAGGUGAUAGGCUAGUUCAAAUAGCUACUAUGGGGUGAAUUGUAAUUCAAUUGGCCACCCGUGUGUGACCUAGCAUGACUGUGCAGCUUUCUCUGUGUGUUGCAAUCUCAUUGGCCACCUGUGUGUGGCCAGGCUCAACCACAUGGCCUUUGUUCUAUAAAAGUUAGUUUGUAAGGCAGGGAGGGGUUGCCCUCUCUGUAAGAGGCAGCCCCGAACGGUCGGUUUGAUUCUCGAUGCUUGGCGAGAAAUAAAGCUUUGCUCGACCUUC